UACGUAGGGGGCGAGCGUUGUCCGGAAUCAUUGGGCGUAAAGAGCGUGUAGGUGGACUGGAAGGUCUGGUGUGAAAGCCCGGGGCUCAACCCCGGAGGGUCACUGGAAACCAACAGUCUUGAGUCCGAAAGAGGAGAGUGGAAUUCCUGGUGUAGCGGUGGAAUGCGCAGAUAUCAGGAGGAACACCAAUGGCGAAGGCAGCUCUCUGGUACGUGACUGACACUGAGACGCGAAAGCGUGGGGAGCGAACAGG
rnacentral:rRNA from 1 species